GACGAACGCUGGCGGCGUGCUUAACACAUGCAAGUCGAACGGAAAGGCCCUGCUUGCAGGGUACUCGAGUGGCGAACGGGUGAGUAACACGUGGGUGAUCUGCCCUGCACUUCGGGAUAAGCUUGGGAAACUGGGUCUAAUACCGGAUAGGAGCCAUCUUUAGUGUGGUGGUUGGAAAGUUUUUUCGGUGUAGGAUGAGCUCGCGGCCUAUCAGCUUGUUGGUGGGGUAAUGGCCUACCAAGGCGGCGACGGGUAGCCGGCCUGAGAGGGUGUACGGCCACAUUGGGACUGAGAUACGGCCCAGACUCCUACGGGAGGCAGCAGUGGGGAAUAUUGCACAAUGGGCGCAAGCCUGAUGCAGCGACGCCGCGUGGGGGAUGAAGGCCUUCGGGUUGUAAACUCCUUUCGCUAGGGACGAAGUUUUGUUGUGACGGUACCUAGAUAAGAAGCACCGGCUAACUACGUG
rnacentral:rRNA from 1 species